UGCGGGUCGGAAGACCAGGUAGGGCUUCCCCGACUGGGGGCCGUUCGACUGCACGAAGUUCCGUUGCGCCCGACGCAUUUGUCUCCCGUCCGAAGGACGCCGCAGCCGGUUGGGUAGCUGCAAGCACGACGGCCUGAGGGGCGGACGAUGGCAGGUGGCCGGUGGCGUGCUUCGGUGCGUCGCCGGUUGUUAGCCGGUCCGUCAGUGGCUCGUCACCCGACCGAGGUGUCACGAGGCCCUUCGGGGCUUCAGCGUCUCCUCCUUUACGGAAGUCGGGACAGAGUGUCGCAGGUGAAUCUCGCCGUCCCGUUCGCACUCCGCAGGAGUGGUCGGGCGAGCGAGAGGCUCCGUUGGCGGCGCCGGGCCCGUUGGAGGCAGGAGGCUGGCGGCGAGUAGGUCGGUCACCCACCCGACCCGUCUUGAAACACGGACCAAGGAGUCUAACAUGUGCGCGAGUCAAUGGGUCUUGAAUAGGCCCAGGGGCGCAAUGAAAGCAAAGGUCGGCAGACGCCGACCGAGUUGGGAUCCCCGUCUCGGCGGGGCGCACCAACGACCCGUCCUAUCCGACUCGUCGGUUGGGCGGAGUGUGAGCGUACACGUUGGGACCCGAAAGAUGGUGAACUAUGCCCGGACAGGACGAAGCCAGAG
rnacentral:rRNA from 1 species